ensembl:lncRNA
GUGCGUUCAAUGUCACUGGGGUUUUCAUCAUUGAAUUGAACACGAUCAUAGCUGUGCACUGGUGUUAUUCUAUUGAUUAGUGUCAACAUGACAGCGGUGUCCCACUAUUCUCAUGUCUUUAUUGAUCACAUAGUGUCAGAAUCAGGGCUGUAUCCUGGUGGACACUAAAUGCAUUUUAUCCAUUGGUCUAAUUCAUGAAGCGUCGUCAGUCUGACUACUGUAACUCUCUCCUGCAGGUCUCCUGCUACCACCAUUCCACCUCUGCAGCUCAUCCACAAUGCAGCAGCUCCACUGCUCUUUAACCUUCCUAAGUCCUCUAAACAUGGUGCUCACGUACCGUGCUGUGAAUGGAUGGGGUCCAGCUUACAUCCAGGACCUGGUCCAACCCGACAUCCCGACCCGCACUCUCCGCUCUGCAUGUGAUAAACUGCUUGUUCCUCCUCACUGAGAGCAAAACACUCGACUAGAUCUCCACUCUUUGCUGUCCUGCUCCUAAAUGGUGGAAGGAGGUCUCUGAAGACAUCAGGACCACAGAGAGCCUUCACAUCUUCAGACUAAAGACACACCUCUUCAGACUCUACCUCCACUAACACACUAACUAACUGUAGCACUUACAUUGGACUUAUAAUGGUUCUUAUCUACAGCAAGUUGUAAAGCGGCUUAUUAGCGUCAGCUAAUUGACAUGUGAUGUAAUGAAGGUGUGAAGGUGUGGACUCUGCUAUGAAUCAGGCUGAGGACCCAGAGGACGGAGUCCCUCCCUCUAAAGCCCCUCUGUGUGGGGAACAUGACAGCCAGACCAAAGCUCAGAGGACCCAUCAGAGACCAGGACCUGGACCUGGACCCAGCUGUGUGUCCAUGAAGAGUGAUCGGUCUAAAGGUCGACUGACUUCAAAGAUGGACGUGGUUCUUAUGAGCCUCACUAAGCUCUUGAACAGAAGAACCAGAUGAAGAACAUGAUGAUUGGUUGUAUUGUAACAUUAAGUGAAUAUGGAUUGAUGUCAGUGAGGGAUUUCACAUUCGUUUGUGGUGUGAAAACAUGGCAGGUCUCCCUGCUCGAUGUCGCACCGUCUCAUUCAUUCACUUGGCUCAUGACGUCCACCUGAAUGUUCCUCUUUGGCUAAAAAGUGCCCUAAAUCGCUUGAGACAGAGUCAGAGCCUCCAGCCACCAACCUCACCGCACGUCACUGCCAGCAGCUCUGUGAAAGGUCCAACGUCUAGUUUCAGAAGAUCUAAGGAGACUUCUACAGAAGCUGGAGGAAUUACAGUUUGUGUUCUACAUUCAGUCACAUCUUACUGUGUGCAAGCAGGCUGCUUUACUGGCUGUUCUUACCCACAAUCCUUUGCACAGCAGGCAGCUUCAGACUGAUACGUGGGGAAGUUGUUCCGCCCCAACAGGUUCAACCUGAUCAUCAACACCACCGCGUGAGGACGUGAGGACACACCCUCUCUGAUGAAGGACAACAAGCUCUAACAAGCUGCAACACUUCACUCCGUCUGAUGGAAGCUGAAGUGAAGCACGGAGCUCCUUUUCUACACGGACCUGCUGAGGACAGAAGAGAGCUUCUCACUGAGGAAGUUCAUGUCUACAAGCUCACAGGUUGUUGUGAAGGUGUGAAGGUGUGGACUCUGCUAUGAAUCAGGCUGAGGACCCAGAGGACGGAGUCCCUCCCUCUGAAGCCCCUCUGUGUGGGGAACAUGACAGCCAGACCAAAGCUCAGAGGUGAGAGGACCAUCUCCAACUGUCCUCCACUCGUCUCCAUGUCCCAACGUCUCUGACUCACUGACUCUGCUUCUACGUGUGUGACCAGGAUCCAUCAGAGACCAGGACCUGGACCUGGACCCAGCUGUGUGUCUAUGAAGAGUAACUGGUCUAUGGAGCUUCCUAUAGAAUUCAAAGAUGUUGGUCCCUCUGUUGAUGCAAG